GUCUCGGUAGGGUAGUGGAUAUCCUGAAAGCCUCCGGAGCUUUCGACCCGGGUUCGAGUCCCGGCCGGGACG
rnacentral:tRNA from 2 species